UUUGCUUUCAGGGGAUAGAACUAGAUAAACCUGAACGUGUAUCUUCGGAAUGAGAGGUAGAAGGUCUGGAUGGGGUCAACUUCGAAAGAGGCCAAUAAGAUGGAACGGGCUCGGCAGUCGUUUGCCAAGUAUGUUUAUACACAUCGCUAUCACUGGAUUUGCCGCAAAGGAUUUGCCGACCUUGAUAUGUGAUAACAAAGUAGAACGUGUCCUCAUGUGUUGUUUACGGUAUAUCAUGGCGCGGUGUCUAAAACGAAUGAAUCUAAUCGAGUCCUUGUUUUUCGUUGCAUGGAAAUUGCAAAGCUCACUAGCAUGCACGAAGACUAUCUGAAUGAGGUAAGAGGCAUGCGAUCAUGAAACGGCUAUUUCUCUGCUGUUUCUGUUAUUGAGGCCCAAUAGGCGCUGUCAACUGACAAACGGUCUCAAUGUCUCUAUAUUUCCAGAUGGACCUGACCUGUAGCGGAGAUCCGUAGACCACAUUCAAACAAGCAGUGCCAACGACUGCCUGCGCUACCCAGCUGACAAGGUUGCAUGACCGUUUCAUCCAGAUUAUGGCGUCACUAAUGGUCAGCGAAUCCAUGGGGAAAUCCAAACUUCUAUCAGUGCUUUUCAACAUGUUCAUUUCAUAACGCGAUCGGUAGCAUCGGUUAGGCAAUCGGGAUACUCAGAAUACAAAGCUCGUUCGAGCGGUCCUCAGAAAUGUUCAACGGUAUGGGCUGAUUUCGAAGUUAUUGACGUUAAAAGUGCCCGAUGUGACACGUACUUUGACAAGAUUCAAAGCAUGCACGAACAUCUGCAUGCCGAUCCGAAUUGCCGGAUCCGGUCGGAAACGUAUGAGCUCCCAACAAUAACCAGCUACGUGAAAUGUCCCUAUCUGCGAUCGACACGUAAAAACAUGAGAAUUAAUAAGAAUUUCUGGAAGGGCUCGAUCAAGUGAAAUGGGUAGAUAGAUAUGCAUGGUGAUUUUAACUACCAGCGAAAAAGAAGGGAAGGUUAGAUAACGAAAGUUUUGAGAGAUAAUAUGCUGCCGCUAUCCUUGAUAAAAAUAAGAUGAAUUCGAACUAUAUCGUAGUGUGACGAAGGGUAUCGAUACGUUACAAGAUGAUUAGGUAGGUAGGAAGGAAAACGUAAAACUUUCCGGCACUUGAAAAGUUCCGAAGUAUGUUCGUUUUAUUGAAUAAACUGGAAAAUGAUACCUAAAGUAAAAAUUUUACGAAAAAAACAAAGCUAUAAUAUAUGCAAGCACUGGUAGUUUCGUAAACUGUUAAAAAGUGAAUUAAGUCACCACAGUAUGUUAUGCCGUGGAAUAUAGUAUAUAAAUUACGCUCACUGUAAAUAGAAGUAUAAUCAGGAGCGAAUGAGCGUAGUGGCUAAUAGCCGCGAUCAAACAUUAAAUCGGCAAAGGUAGCCUUUAUCGCACAGAGUCACCACUUAUUCAGGUUUUCCUUAGUCCUGCGUAGACAAUAUAGAUGUUCGUCAAGGUGGCCAGUAACUGUGGUGAUGACUGUAAAAUUGACUGAUAUGGGGCACAGUAGGGGUCCACAGUCGAAUAAUGACGAAUGAAAGUUAUAAACCUUUGGUCUCUUAUUGCUCCUACGACCAUUCCGUAAUAAGAAAUGCUGAUAUACAACAGUUCCUAAUACAGAAAGAUGAUGAACAUUAUCUGCUUCUAUUACAAAAUGUAAAAAACUACGCUUAUGCUAUAAGAAAUUUCGUCGUUGACCUGCCUUUUUCUCAGCUGCAGUAGCGCUCCUCGCGACGAAGUAAUGCUAAAGAUCGAAAUAGCUAAUAUUUAGCUUUACGGGAUUUGUAUAGCUUUGAUUUCAAAUAUUUUCCGAUAAGAAACAAUCUGCAUUAGGAGUCUGUUCCUUACGUUUCAUGAUUUUAUAGUGUAACAACAUGUCGAACAUUUUUUGUUGUUUUCCUGUUUCCACUUGGUCAUCACCGCAGGGCGAUAUCGUAGGUACAGAUGGGUGGCAUGUAGGGCAAGUGAUCUGCCUAAUGCAUGGUGCGUAGCCGUCACCGUUGUUAUCGGUUCGUCCCCAGAGCCAGCUCACAGCUGCGGCAGUCGAAUCAGCCCCAGCCAUGAAGUACAACUUACUACAGCUAUGUGGGCUUCGGGCGAGUUCGGCUGCACCAAGGAAGUUCCUCACUCCUGUUAGUCGCCAUUUUGUUAAAGGCAAACCUGGACUUCUCUCGCAUUGUCAGAUGCACUCAAACGAGGUGCGCAGGGAUUAGCAGUUGAUUGUAGCGUAUAUUUGUGUACGGACUAGUCCAAGAAGAUAGAAGAUUCGAUUACCAUGAACCUAAUAUAUGUGGCCAUCGUUUGAUUCCAAAUGUUGGCAAUCGUGGCGAUUAUCAGAGACCACAAAUGAUACCUCAAUAAAUCGUUCCAAAGGAAUUCCCAAUUAGAUGAAACGUUAUACCGUCUUGGUUUUCAACGGAAUGCCUUCGUAUUUAUGUAUCAAUUUUUUAGAACUUCUCAAUUAACUACAAAUGGCUAACUACCAUUCUAUGAGGUUGAUUUUAGAAGUUGUGCGUGUCCCGAAACGCCGCAGAAAUCCAAGGCGAGCUGUCUCUUGUCAAGUUUCUUGCGCUUUAGUAGGAAUCACUUAGGGCGUUAAGACGCCGGUGGCGAACAGGAAAGGAACCAGAAAGCGAGAGGAAACAUUCCUAGAUACCAUAUCAUAUUAAUAUAUGGAAAAAAAAAGCAGUAUAUAUUGAAAAAUAUCAAUUAUUGUCAAUGCAUUAUGUGAAUAGAAAAUCGAAGGUUAUAUAUUUAACGUUCUUUUUUGCAGUACUCUGUUAAACGAGUUGUCCGUGUUAAAGUUCAGACCAGUUCCUUAGAACAGAUGCUUUCUAAAAUCCAUGAGAUCGUCCUUCGAAAGACAAAUAUAUCUUUUUACAUGGACAACUUCCAGUAAAUGUUUAGUAUUAUUGUUUCUUAUUGUGUUCUCUUUUACAUACACGUUUCGCCUAAAUCAGAAAUCAAACAUUUCACCUUUAACUCACGGUAUAUAACCAUAAUUUAAAUAUUGUUUAAAAAAAAAAGAAGUCGAUUCUAACAGAAUUGUCCGAUUUCAGUGAGACGGACUCCGCCCUAAUUCCUGAAUUCCAUACAGACGACCGCGUCUGACUAUGACCAGCUUUCUAGAGAUACGGUUACAGCGCGACGGCAAGCAUACAGACAGCAUAUUCCAUAGACCACGAUACGAUCAUAAUGGCGCACGUGUCAUCCACUUCAGAGGAAAUUAAUGGGAGUUCUGAGAACAGCUUCCACUACACUUCUGCGAGGACACCACCGGUCUGGCGGUUCUUUAAUCGGACUAAGAACGCGCAUCGUGUCGACGGUCCUAAUACGGAUCCUCUCCCAGGACACAACCGGUCUGAAGUUCCAUCGUAGAAAACACCUGAUGAGUGCAAGGGCCAAUAGAUCACGAGAAUCCUUCUUUUGCGCAGAGCUAUAUGCGACGCUAAAUCAGGAAAAAACCGCUGGUUUCCUACAUCCGAUGCAGAAACCAAUAGCGAUAUAAGGGAUCGCAUAAGGACGACCAAAGGCGGAAAUCUCCUGCCAGAGGGAGUGAGCGAGCGAGCCAGGAAGGAAGGGAGGGAGGGGUUGGGGUAGUUGCCCGUAAACAUGUUUUAUUUGUUGGUCACUUCUUGAAAACGAUACAAAAUGUAUAUUUUAUAUAGACGUACUGAUUCAGUACUGUGUUUACUAUAGGUUAUUUCUAAAUAAAAAUAAAUGCGUGGUGUGUUACGGAAGAUACGGGAGAUGAGUUGAUUGAUUCAUGAUUUCUAGAGGCAGUUAAUUUCAUCGAUCUUUCGACUUUGUCUUUUGCUAGCUCAUGUUAGAAUGAUUAUGGUGACAAUGUUGCACACGCAUGUCUGAUGCACGCCAUGCUGUACAUAGAUAUUUGUUUUACGUAGACCUUGCAUUUGCAAUUGUGGCUAUUAAAGAUGCUGAUCAGGACUCUUCUAACAGUCUCUAUACUUUGCAGACAACCUAGUCUAUCCAGUUAAACUCUGGCCAAACGUUGAACACCGUGAUGGUAGCAGUAACGGUAGCGGAACGCCCACUGGAACACCGAUUGCCGAAUCCCCGAACAGCAGAGGGCGCCCUCGACGUCCGCGGACGAUUAAAGAUCUUCUUAAAAGAUAGUUCUGCAGCUAGCUAUAAUAAUUCGCGAACCGAAUGAACGUCACACAGAAAGGAGGUCGAAAUUUCCUAUCAAUAAAAUAAAACGACGCACGUUUUGUCCCAUUGAACUCAUGGUAAUAACGUGUGUAUUCACUGUGGUGUGCACAUAGAAGAACAAUCACACUGUUGUCCAUUAUUGCUUCAUGGUGAUGGUUGAGGAAGUUCCAUCGUAGUCGCAGUAGCACAUCUAGAUCUUUUCCCUGUACAGGCAGAUGAUUUCAUGAAGGGUCAGUUCAGCACGUCCUGUACGUCUUUUGACGGAGUGUUCCGAUAGUACAAACGCUGUGAUCGGUGCGACUUUCAUUGUUGUCUCCGUCCAUUGUGGACACACAGCAGUUGGUGGUUUCCUAAUUGCUGCGACCAUAUGCGGCUCCCCCGGUAUUUUUAUCGACACAGCUACUGAAAAGUUUGCCACUGCUACUGGGACUUCGAUAUUGAAAAAAAUAGGUGGCAUACCUGGACUUACCGUAUUUCAUACCUGGUUUAGCUAGCUUCUGUGCUUUUCCUAUAGAAUGUGCUCGUUAUUUACUUGACUUCAUGACUAUUACAGAACUACUGACCCUAACCGAUGUUGUGAGACUGACUGCCUCUUGGUAAUUGUAUGCUCGGCUGCCGACUAACACCAAAUCGUUCGCUGGAACACGACGCUAAGGGUACUACAAUUCGCGCUUGUUGUCCAAUGCCAAGAAACUGAGACAGGGAAGUUGUCACUUAACAAGGAAGGUCCUAUCGAACUAAUAUUGUCGUUUGUCGUAACGCUCACUUACCAACGCAACAAUAACAAUCACAGCAAAAACGUCGCACGCGUCAUUUCACGCUACUGUUACUACCGCCUUUUUUUUCGGUUGUCUGUAUUUUAACAAAUAUUUCCACCUACUUUCAAACGAAUGCUAACUUCCGCCUUGCGGCUAAUUAAAUGUCAAGACAGAACUACGUUCCUGACAAUACGGUCAGGAAACGAUGCACGAUCGACGUGAUGAUCCGUGAUCGAGCCUGAACUAGCAAACGCACUGUGGCCCAUUCAGUCAGUGUAUACGAUCCAGCAUCCAUUAGUAAAUGAUGCUUUCCCUACUCACGAUGUUGCCGGGAGGCGGGGGUCCCGGAGGUCCAGUGGCGGGUGGUCCCCAGGCGUCAGACGAGGUUCAUUACAUCCCGUUCGAAGGGGGCUACAAAUGUAAGC